AAACAGUGCGUCACAGUCACAACCGCAUUGAACAAAAUGAAUGUGAAAAGUUCUCUCUGAGUUUUGGAGCUUUAUGGAAUAAUUUAAAGGACUUGGAACUAUCAAUAUGAAAAGAUGGAGGGAGCUGAAAAAUCUUUAUGACAAAUUACAUCUCAGAAUGUCUGCCGUCGAAAACUACCAAGGAUGGACUCGGAUGGCAAUUACAGGAGACAAAAUCUGCAUGCAAAGAGAACUGUAUUGAUUUGAACAUCCCAAGAUGUCUCAAGUUUUACAAGUAUAUGGAAGUGGUGUGUGACAGAUUUUCCUCAGCAAAAAAAUAAGGCUGCCAAACAGACAAGAUGCUAGAGCUCACAGUGUUGUCUGCAUUUUGAUGACAAAACAGUGAUGUGUGCUUUUUUUGGAAGAAGUAAAAAGAUAGACUCUGAUGUAUUUCAUAUUUGCAUGUAUUGUUUCGUAUGAUACAAUUUGCCCGUACAAGUGGCUAUGCCCAUAAAAGAGGCACACUAUU
rnacentral:lncRNA from 1 species